rnacentral:tRNA from 1 species
GUGGGUGUAGCUCAGGGGUAGAGUGUGUGCUUAGCAUGCACAAGGUCCUGGGUUCAAUCCCCAGUACCUCCA